UAUUUCAUACGCAUACCAGUUAGUGGGCUUAUGUUCUGUGGACCACUGGUGUCAUAGGAAUCAAAAUGUGGUUCAUCUCCUACUAGGUGGAUGCGUCGAAAUGGAACUUUGAGUAAAUGACCAGAUUGCUCAUGAAUGACUUCCCUGCAAAUCAGUUCGCAGCAUCAAACAUCUGAGAAAAUGCAUGUGAGAGAUGCACAUAUGUACGCAUGCUAAAAUCUCUUCACGUAUGUCUGACUGCAAUUUUGAAGUGGGAAAUUUUAACUAAGAUGACAGGAAAUUUUGAAACCACAAAGGAACAGAUAGUUUGGCAGAAUUCACGUGUAUUCUUUAGAGCUUCUUGGAAAGCAUUCCUCAAAGGAUGGAAGCGGAAGAAAAUCAGGAGCAUUAGGAUCAACUGUGUGCUUCCGUUGCUUGGGCUUUUCUGUAUUUGUAGUAGGUGGCAGAUGUGGAAUAUUUCAUACGCAUACCAGUUAGUGGGCUUAUGUUCUGUGGACCACUGGUGUCAUAGGAAUCAAAAUGAGGUUCAUCUCCUACUAGGUGGAUGCGUCGAAAUGGAACUUUGAGCAAAUGACCAGAUUGCUCAUGAAUGACUUCCCUGCAAAUCAGUUCGCAGCAUCAAACAUCUGAGAAAAUGCAUGUGAGAGAUGCACAUAUGUACGCAUGCUAAAAUCUCUUCACGUAUGUCUGACUGCAAUGUUGAAGUGGGAAAUUUUAACUAAGAUGACAGGAAAUUUUGAAACCACAAAGGAACAGAUAGUUUGGC
rnacentral:lncRNA from 1 species